CCAACCGUGAGGCCAGGCACCCUCCUCCCCCCCCCGGUUCAAGUUUCUGCGCCCGGAGGACGCGGCCUGGGCCAAUCCCAGGACUACAAGGCGGUUUUAAAAUGCAGGUAGGGCUGGGGGGUGGCGGGGACCGGUGGGAAAGGUAGGGUAGGGCUUCCCUUAAAGGCGACGCGCGGAAAUGCGCGUCCCCCUAUCGGGCCCGCGUCGCUGACCCUCCCUUUCUCAUUCUUAAUAAACAAAUGCCCACCGGGUGGGCGCAGUUCCCUUCCUCCCUCCUGGGAGCACCAGAGUUCGGUACAGUCCGUGAGAGGAGGAACAAUAGGACCCUGACGUGGGGGGUCGGGCAGAGCUGCUCUUUGUCCCUUUCCGGGCCACCGACCUCCUCCGCCCCAGUUCCUGGGUCCCCUGCCUACACUCGCAGCGGGGCUGCCUUUCCACUCCUAGCUCAGGACUGUAGAGCCUUGCCAGCCUUAUCUCAGGGACAGACAGAUCUCUCCCCUCUUCCCCCUGGCCUGAUGGGGCGAGGGGGCCUGGGACCUGCCCAUUUCCUGGAGCGGCUCUCGGAGCCCUGCCCCUUCGCACACGCAACCGCUAAAUCCCUGGGAUUGGAGGAAUAUCUUUGGUUCGCUAGGUGGAAACCCCUGGGAAACGCGAGGGAAGGUCUUCCACCCCGGCCAUAAAGCUGGGGUCCAGAGGCGCACAGCAACGGGAGAACCUUCCCCCGCCCCGCAUCAUUGCGGGGCAUUCAGAUCUUCCUACAGCCUCUAAGUCCGGUCCCCAAAGCGCAUUUACGGCGCUUCUGCAGUCGGCAGGCUGAGGGAAGGGUGCGUUUUCCCUGGACCCGCAAGGAGAUAACCCACCCCAGGCGCACGCACACCGGGGUAAGCUACCCAGGGCCUGGAGCGCGUGCCCGCGCAGUCGCUGACGUCCCCUUUUACAGUUACUCAGCCGUUUGCUGAACCACUGCGUGUGCCCUCUCACACCUUCCUCAGCGCGGGGCAGUUCUACCCGGACAUGACCACAGAGGUGGUGCCACGGCCCUCUGAGGGUGCUUGGCAUUCUUGGGAGGAGGGAGAGUAUAACGUGAGAAGACACCGUGAGGCCGUCUGCAGCGCUAUGCAGGGAAAUCAGUUGCCUUAGAUCUUGUUUUCUGGGAGGGACUAGGACGUAGGAGCUUGGAUCCGAGCCUGAGCAACAAGGACAAAGGGUGACAGCUUCGGUGGAAGAAAAUGAAACCUUUAUCCAAGCAGUGGUUCAAACCAUCUCUACACACCACUGGCUGGGCAGCUUUUCUCCAGGACCAUAACAUCCUCCUGGGAGAGCUCGGGGGAGGGGGUAGCAUUGGUGCUGCUGGGUGGUUUAAGAGUGGUUCCCUGCUUCCUCCCCCCCCCCAGUCCCCCCCUCCCCACCCCUUGCUUCACAUGCUUGCUGAGAAGAGGAUCCCAGGACCGAACUAGCAUCCCAGAGCAAGAGCUCUCCAGGACAAAUGUGCUGUGUCCCCCGGGAACACUCAGAGUCCAGUAUAGCCACAUAGCAAGUCUGAGGCCACCGGGAGUGGGGGGGGGGGGGCAGUGAGAUCCUGUCUGAAAAAAAGCAGUCCCCCACACACUGCUAGUUCAAGGGGCUCGUAUUCCUCUCCUUGCCUGCAAGCCUAAGCUCAGACAUGCUUUGGCAGCCCUAGGUGUUUGCUAAGUGAAUGAUUGACCCUUCCAUGCAUGA